rnacentral:misc_RNA from 1 species
GAAAUGCGAUAUGUAAUGCGAAUUGCAGAAUUCAGUGAAUCAUCAAAUCUUUGAACGCAAAUGGCGCUCUCGGGAUAGACCUGGGAGCACGCCUCUCUGAGUAUCGGUUCAACUUCACCUCGUCUGCGUACUUGAAAUAUAGUACGAUGUGACGGAAAAUGAGAGUCUAAGCAUAGCUGCUUUGUCUCUUGAAAUAUAUUGAGCUUCAAUCUACUAGUCCUUGUACCUUCGGGUACUAGCCUAUGUGGCUAUUAUUUAACUAGUGACGUGGAUAACAUCACGUAGUGAUACGAAACGUCAAUGCUAAUUAAGUAAUGUAAAGUUGCAUAGUGUGAAAGUUCGAGUUCGAUUGUAAGCGAUUGAAUUGAUCCCGUAUUUAUGGAAUAACUUCGGUUACUCUUUAAUACGUAUUGACAUUAGAUCUCAGAUGAAGCUAGAAGACCCCCUGAAUUUAAGC